UACACAUGCAGUCGAACGGUGAAGCAGACGNNUUGCUCUGUGGAUCAGUGGCGAACGGGUGAGUAAACACGUGAGCAACCUGCCCCGGACUCUGGGAUAAGCGCUGGAAACGGCGUCUAAUACUGGAUACGAGCUGCGACCGCAUGGUCAGCAGUUGGAAAGAUUUUUCGGUCUGGGAUGGGCUCACGGCCUAUCAGCUUGUUGGUGAGGUAAUGGCUCACCAAGGCGUCGACGGGUAGCCGGCCUGAGAGGGUGACCGGCCACACUGGGACUGAGACACGGCCCAGACUCCUACGGGAGGCAGCAGUGGGGAAUAUUGCACAAUGGGCG
rnacentral:rRNA from 1 species